UUUGCAGUUGCGUUCAAAAAGUAGGGGGCAGAGGGCAUUGAAAGUGACCCUAGUAAGAGGCUAUAACCUGGAGUCACUGUGGCUCUGUCUGUUACAGAACAAAGUGGAAGAGCUCAAUUAAUGACUGAGACAAGUUAUUGAUGACAACAAAAAUCUUCCUUACGGUUGGCCAGCAGUCAUGCUCCUCACCAAAUACUACAUCCUUCAUCAUAGUGAUUACAUUAGUGGUUACAGUGAAGCUUUGUCCAUGCCUCUCUGGACGUCUUAUACUGUAUCUAAGCAGGUAGAUUUCACUCCUCUGACUGAGGCUCUGAGCAACUGUGUUCGGCCUGAUAUUAGAGUUCCUACAGUCUACAGUCAGUCCUGCUCAAACUACCGUGCAGACAAACAGAUUUCCUACAGCUUCCUCUAUC